UACAGAGGUCUCAAGCGUUGUUCGGAUUCAUUGGGCGUAAAAGGGGUGCGUAGGCGGCGCGGUAAGUCGGGUGUGAAAUCUCGGAGCUUAACUCCGAACUGCAUUCGAUACUGCCGUGCUUGAGGACUGGGAGAGGAGACUGGAAUUUACGGUGUAGCGGUGAAAUGCGUAGAUAUCGUAAGGGAAGACCAGUGGCGAAGGCGGGUCUCUGGACAGUUCCUGACGCUGAGGCACGAAGGUCAGGGGAGCAAACGGG
rnacentral:rRNA from 1 species